CGCCGCCGGCCCCAUGCACCGGCAGGACCAGGGCCAACACCAUCCAGUCCACCAGGUUCGGGGACGUGUCCAAGGAGAUCAAGCGGGUGCGGAAGCAGAUGGAGGAGGACGAGCAGCUGGCCUCCCUCAUGCGCGGCCUCCACGGCCAGAACCUCCGCGACGACAAGGCUGCAUGUGAAAGAAAGCGAACUUGAGCCAAGGUGAUGGUGAUGGAAAUGAAUGAAAGAAAGAGAAGCUGGAUGCCUACCACAAAGAUGAGCAGAGAGCAGGGGAGUUCACUGGAAUGGAGCCGCUGGUGGCCUGGCCGUAGCCGUGGAGGAGGUGGGGGCGGAGGAGGAGUUGAGCGCUGGCCAGGGUCAGGCGGGGCAGGAGGUGAGCGCUGGCCUGGAGGAGCCCGGCGGAGAAGCAGGGGCGACGAGGGGCCUGGCGGAGGGGCAAAGAGGAGCGCUGGCCUGGAGGAGCCUGGAGGAGGGGCAAAGAGGAGCGCUGGCCUGGAGGAGCCUGACGGAGGGGCGCUGGCCUGGAGGAGCCCGACGGAGGGGCGCUGGCCUGGAGGAGCCCGACGGAGGAUGGAGGAGUC